GACGAACCGUGCGAACGUUGUUCGGAAUCACUGGGCUUAAAGGGCGCGUAGGCGGGCUGACAAGUCGGACGUGAAAUCCCUCGGCUCAACCGGGGAACUGCGUCCGAAACUGGCAGGCUCGAAUUCGGGAGAGGGAUGCGGAAUUCCAGGUGUAGCGGUGAAAUGCGUAGAUAUCUGGAGGAACAUCGGUGGCGAAGGCGGCAUCCUGGACCGAUAUUGACGCUGAGGCGCGAAAGCCAGGGGAGCAAACGGG
rnacentral:rRNA from 1 species